AGAGUUGGCCGAACAGUCGCUGGUUUGCGUUUCGCGCAAACUGGAGGAAAGUCCGGGCUCCACAGGGCGAAGUGCCAGGUAACGCCUGGGAGGCGCGAGCCUACGGAAAGUGCAACAGAAAAUAAACCGCCUCGCGCCUAUCUUCUAACUGACCUUAAGGGCCUCAGGCCCAGAUCAUAUAGCGGAUAGGCGCUCGGUAAGGGUGAAACGGUGUGGUAAGAGCGCACCGCACGGUCGGUAACGGUACGUGGCUAGGUAAACCCCACUUGGAGCAAGAUCAAAUAGGAAAGCAUACGCACGGCCCGUGCGGCUUUCGGGUAGAUCGCUUGAGCCAUAAGGUGACUUGUGGCCUAGAUGAAUGACUGUUCUCGACAGAACCCGGCUUACAGGCCGACUCUUGUG
rnacentral:RNase_P_RNA from 1 species